rnacentral:rRNA from 1 species
UGCGGCUGCCUAUAAUGCAGUCGAACGCUUUCUCUUUCACCGGAGCUUGCUCCACCGAAAGAAAAAGAGUGGCGAACGGGUGAGUAACACGUGGGUAACCUGCCCAUCAGAAGGGGAUAACACUUGGAAACAGGUGCUAAUACCGUAUAACACUAUUUUCCGCAUGGAAGAAAGUUGAAAGGCGCUUUUGCGUCACUGAUGGAUGGACCCGCGGUGCAUUAGCUAGUUGGUGAGGUAACGGCUCACCAAGGCCACGAUGCAUAGCCGACCUGAGAGGGUGAUCGGCCACACUGGGACUGAGACACGGCCCAGACUCCUACGGGAGGCAGCAGUAGGGAAUCUUCGGCAAUGGACGAAAGUCUGACCGAGCAACGCCGCGUGAGUGAAGAAGGUUUUCGGAUCGUAAAACUCUGUUGUUAGAGAAGAACAAGGAUGAGAGUAGAACGUUCAUCCCUUGACGGUAUCUAACCAGAAAGCCACGGCUAACUACGUGCCAGCAGCCGCGGUAAUACGUAGGUGGCAAGCGUUGUCCGGAUUUAUUGGGCGUAAAGCGAGCGCAGGCGGUUUCUUAAGUCUGAUGUGAAAGCCCCCGGCUCAACC